rnacentral:rRNA from 1 species
AUUGAACGCUGGCGGCAGGCCUACCACAUGCAAGUCGAGCGAGCGGCGGACGGGUGAUUAAUGUCUGUGACCCUGCCUGAUGGAUGGGUAUAAAUACUGGUAACGGUUGCUAAUACCUCAUUCCAUCAGAUGUGCCCAGAUGGGAUUAGGUAGUAGUGGGGGUAAUGGCUCACCUAGGCGACGAUCACUAGCUGGUCUGAGAGGAUGACCAGCCACACGGGAACUGAGACACGGUCCAGACUCCUACGUGAGGCAGCAGUGGGGAAUAUUGCACAAUGGGCGCAAGCCUGAUGCAGCCAUGCCGCGUGUGUGAAGAAGGCCUUCGGGUUGUAAAGCACUUUCAGCGAGGAGGCGUUACUCGCAGAAGAAGCACCGGCUAACUCCGUGCCAGCAGCCGCGGUAAUUC